AUUCUGUAGCAAGGUUAACCGUAUAGGGGAGCCGUAGGGAAACCGAGUCUUAACCGGGCGUUAAGUUGCAGGGUAUAGACCCGAAACCCGGUGAUCUAGCCAUGGGCAGGUUGAAGGUUGGGUAACACUAACUGGAGGACCGAACCGACUAAUGUUGAAAAAUUAGCGGAUGACCUGUGGCUGGGGGUGAAAGGCCAAUCAAACCGGGAGAUAGCUGGUUCUCCCCGAAAGCUAUUUAGGUAGCGCCUCGUGAAUUCAUCUCCGGGGGUAGAGCACUGUUUCGGCUAGGGGGCCAUCCCGGCUUACCAACCCGAUGCAAACUGCGAAUACCGGAGAAUGUUAUCACGGGAGACACACGGCGGGUGCUAACGUCCGUCGUGAAGAGGGAAACAACCCAGACCGCCAGCUAAGGUCCCAAAGUCAUGGUUAAGUGGGAAACGAUGUGGGAAGGCCCAGACAGCCAGGAUGUUGGCUUAGAAGCAGCCAUCAUUUAAAGAAAGCGUAAUAGCUCACUGGUCGAGUCGGCCUGCGCGGAAGAUGUAACGGGGCUAAACCAUG
rnacentral:rRNA from 1 species